rnacentral:antisense_RNA from 1 species
GCACUCCAGACAGCCAGAAAGCAGCGAGUCGGAACCUUGCUUGUCUCCCUCUUAUCCCAGCCGGUUUUUAGCCAUCGCUAAGCCUAGGGCGAGGUUUCGGUCCGGUUUCAGCGUUUCUCCUCUACCUAGCCCCCUGAGGACCCCAGAUUUCUCGCGGUACAGAUCCAGAGAGGGUGGGCGAGCCGGGCACUCCUGCCUUUCCUCUGCACAGCGCCUAGCGAUCCGCUCGACUCGGCCCUGACAGGCGUAAUCUGCCCGGCGUCACCUCCAGCUGCUUCCUCGUUCUCGCUAGUUCCGUCUCGCACGCGAGUGCCAGGAGAAGAGAGAGAUUCGGAGAGGCGGCUGCACUGCUUCGGGGAGACGAGCGGCGGCUUUGCCUCAGUCCUUUUCCCCGGGGUUCCCCCAGAUCUGUGACCCUGCGAUGCUUCCUUGAGCGAAAGCGCGCUUUGAGUCGUGUCCUCGUUGGCUCUCUACCGAGCUGGGAUUUUUGUAACAGCAAAGGAGGCAGAAAUGAGGGGAGCCCUCUCAGACCAUGGAGGA